rnacentral:rRNA from 1 species
AACGAACGCUGGCGGCAUGCCUAACACAUGCAAGUCGAACGAUUCUUUCGGGUCUAGUGGCGCACGGGUGCGUAACGCGUGGGAACCUGCCCUUAGGUUCGGAAUAACUUCCCGUAAGGGGUGCUAAUACCUGAUAAUGUCUUCGGACCAAAGAUUUAUCGCCUUUGGAUGUGCCCGCGUUGGAUUAGCUAGUUGGUAGGGUAAAAGCCUACCAAUGCGACGAUCCAUAGCUGGUCUGAGAGAAUGUUCAGCCACACUGGGCCUGAGACACGGCCCAGACUCCUACGGGAGGCAGCAGUGGGGAAUAUUGGACAAUGGGCGAAAGGCUGAUCCAGCAAUGCCGCGUGAGUGAUGAAGGCCUUAGGGUUGUAAAGCUCUUUUAACCGGGAUGAUAAUGACAGUACCGGGAGAAUAAGCUCCGGCUAACUCCGUG